AGUGAACGCUGGCGGUAGGCCUAACACAUGCAAGUCGAACGGCAGCACAGUAAGAGCUUGCUCUUACGGGUGGCGAGUGGCGGACGGGUGAGGAAUACAUCGGAAUCUACUUUUUCGUGGGGGAUAACGUAGGGAAACUUACGCUAAUACCGCAUACGACCUACGGGUGAAAGCAGGGGAUCUUCGGACCUUGCGCGAUUCAAUGAGCCGAUGUCGGAUUAGCUAGUUGGCGGGGUAAAGGCCCACCAAGGCGACGAUCCGUAGCUGGCCUGAGAGGAUGAUCAGCCACACUGGAACUGAGACACGGUCCAGACUCCUACGGGAGGCAGCAGUGGGGAAUAUUGGACAAUGGGCGCAAGCCUGAUCCAGCAAUGCCGCGUGGGUGAAGAAGGCCUUCGGGUUGUAAAGCCCUUUUGUUGGGAAAGAAAAGCAGCGGAUUAAAACACCGAUGUUCUGACGGUACCCAAAGAAUAAGCACCGGCUAACUUCGUG
rnacentral:rRNA from 1 species